rnacentral:rRNA from 1 species
UGGGGAAUAUUGCACAAUGGGCGCAAGCCUGAUGCAGCCAUGCCGCGUGUGUGAAGAAGGCCUUCGGGUUGUAAAGCACUUUCAGCGGGGAGGAAGGCGAUAAGGUUAAUAACCUUGUCGAUUGACGUUACCCGCAGAAGAAGAACCGGCUAACUCCGUGCCAGCAGCCGCGGUAAUACGGAGGGUGCAAGCGUUAAUCGGAAUUACUGGGCGUAAAGCGCACGCAGGCGGUCUGUCAAGUCGGAUGUGAAAUCCCCGGGCUUAACCUGGGAACUGCAUUCGAAACUGGCAGGCUAGAGUCUUGUAGAGGGGGGUAGAAUUCCAGGUGUAGCGGUGAAAUGCGUAGAGAUCUGGAGGAAUACCGGUGGCGAAGGCGGCCCCCUGGACAAAGACUGACGCUCAGGUGCGAAAGCGUGGGGAGCAAACAGG